rnacentral:rRNA from 1 species
UACGUAGGGCGCAAGCGUUGUCCGGAAUUAUUGGGCGUAAAGAGCUCGUAGGCGGUUUGUCGCGUCUGCUGUGAAAACCUAAGGCUCAACCUUGGGCUUGCAGUGGGUACGGGCAGACUAGAGUGCGGUAGGGGUGACUGGAAUUCCUGGUGUAGCGGUGGAAUGCGCAGAUAUCAGGAGGAAUACCGAUGGCGAAGGCAGGUCACUGGGCCGCAACUGACGCUGAGGAGCGAAAGCGUGGGGAGCAAACAGG